rnacentral:rRNA from 1 species
UCCAGACUCCUACGGGAGGCAGCAGUGGGGGAUAUUGCACAAUGGGGGGAACCCUGAUGCAGCGACGCCGCGUGGGUGAAGGAGCGUUUCGGCGCGUAAAGCCCUAUCGGCAGGGAAGAAGGAGGACGGUACCUGACUAAGAAGCCCCGGCUAACUACGUGCCAGCAGCCGCGGUAAUACGUAGGGGGCAAGCGUUAUCCGGAUUUACUGGGUGUAAAGGGGGCGCAGACGGCAGCGCAAGCCAGGAGUGAAAGCCCGGGGCCCAACCCCGGGACUGCUCUUGGAACUGCGCGGCUGGAGUGCAGGAGGGGCAGGCGGAAUCCCUGGUGUAGCGGUGAAAUGCGUAGAUAUCAGGAGGAACACCGGUGGCGAAGGCGGCCUGCUGGACUGCGACUGACGUUGAGGCCCGAAAGCGUGGGGAGCAAACAGGAUUAGAUACCCCCGUA